CUGUUUCCUUUUUUUUGCACGCGAGCUUUCUUCCUCCCGAGGCUUGCUCGUGUGAUUCCUCUCCGGUCGAUCGCCGACGCCGACAGAGGAUCUUCCCCGACCUUUCUCUUCCUUCUCUCUCUCGGUUCCCACCGCAUCUCCGGCUUGAUGCCGACGAUUCUUGAUCGUGCCGGUGCUGUCCACCCCGAUCGUCGAUGUCAAGCCUCCCUCCUCCCUUUCUCUCACAUGUCGCUGCGAUUCGUCGACCCUCGAGAUGCCGGAGCCAUGCCACCCCUCUUCGGAUGCUAUCGCCGUUCGACCACCCUUGGCUGAGCCUUCGUAUCUCAGUGGGCAUUGGGCACCCGAGCCCCUAUUCGGUUGUGCCCUAGCUCCAAAUUUCCGUGGCCAUCACAUAGCCGGCUGCAUAGGUUAGUCUUCGGCCAAGAGAGGGGAUAAAGGUGAGCCCUAGCAUGGAUUGUUCCUUGUUUUAUCUUGGAUUAUCACAUUUUCGAUCGAUCCAUAGAUGAUUGAUCUACUGCCUUUCUGUUUCCCCCUUCUGCCUGGCGUCGUCUGCCCUGAUGGAACAAGUCCCUCUCUGUACUAUACCUUUUGGCAGAGAGCUUGAUCUCGCUUCUUCUGCCUGGAUUGAUUCUCUGGUGAACAAGGAACGGCUCCAACAUAUUAUUGGUGAGCUAGGCCUGCUAUGCCCUAGUUUGGGAUCGGGAUGGAUACAGAACAUCAACACGGCUGGUUGCAAUCACUGGAUCUCUACUUUGACUAUCAUCUUGCCCAAGAUUCAGUGCUAGUUGUCAUUUUCUGGUUCGGAUAUGAAGCUGCUGGGCAUCUUCCAAACAUCAUUGAUUUGGCUAGAAAUCAGGAUUCAACAGAGGGAUAUUCAUUUGGGAGUUCAGCAACACCGCCUUACCCUAGAUACCAAUUUCCAGCAGCCAAUAUCCUCGAAUUUGGAUUAACCACGACGCAUCUGAAUUCGGUGGCUACGCUGGGUCCAGCAGCAAGUUCGCCGGCUGAAUUGAUGAUGAAGUCUUGGGUUCGGGUCUUUUAUAUGGGAUGAUCAUCACGAUGAGGGAUUUAUUCUGGACACGACCUACGUAUCAAUGCGGGCAGCUUGUAGAUGGUGGAUGUGUCGCUUGGAGUAUCCUGUCUGCCGGGUUCUACGUCACAUCCGAAGACUGUUUUGAGUUUUGUAUAUGUUUUACUUGUAUUCAGUAUUUGCUGUAUUUGGUGGUGUGAUUCUAUUUGUGUUGUUGUGGUUAUUGUAUAAAGCCUAGCCGGCUAGCAGUGUGGUGGUUUGUUUUGUU